rnacentral:rRNA from 1 species
CAGCCGCCACGGUAAUACAGAGGGUGCAAGCGUUAAUCGGAAUUACUGGGCGUAAAGCGCGCGUAUGUGGUUUGUUAAGUUGGAUGUGAAAUCCCCGGGCUCAACCUGGGAACUGCAUCCAAAACUGGCAAGCUAGAGUAUGGUAGAGGGUGGUGGAAUUUCCUGUGUAGCGGUGAAAUGCGUAGAUAUAGGAAGGAACACCAGUGGCGAAGGCGACCACCUGGACUGAUACUGACACUUAGGUGCGAAAGCGUGGGGAGCAAACAGGAUUAGAUACCCCAGUAGUCCCUGUCUCUUAUAC